rnacentral:tRNA from 1 species
GCCGAGGUGGCGGAAUUGGUAGACGCGCAUGCUUCAGGUGCAUGUAUCUUAGGAUGUGGAGGUUCAAGUCCUCUUCUCGGCACCA